rnacentral:rRNA from 1 species
GAAAGGCGGGCUAAUACCGAAUGACAUCUUGAAAACUUAUGCUUUCAGGAUCAAAGGUGGCCUCUACAUGUAAGCUAUUGUUUGGGGAUGAGCCCGCGUACCAUUAGCUUGUUGGUAGGGUAAUGGCCUACCAAGGCUACGAUGGUUAGCUGGUCUGAGAGGAUGAUCAGCCACACUGGAACUGACACACGGUCCAGACUCCUACGGGAGGCAGCAGUGAGGAAUUUUGCGCAAUGGGGGAAACCCUGACGCAGCAACGCCGCGUGAGUGAUGAAGGCUUUCGGGUCGUAAAGCUCUGUCAAGUGGGAAGAAACCAUAUAGUAUUAAUACUGCUAUAUGUUGACGGUACCACUGGAAGGAAGCACCGGCUAACUCCGUGCCAGCAGCCGCGGUAAUAACAGGGGGUGCGAGCGUUAUUCGGAAUUACUGGGCGUAAAGAGCGCGUAGGCGGUCUUUUAAGUCAGGUGUGAAAGCCCGGGGCUCAACCCCGGAAAGUGCACUUGAAAACUAA